AUACGGAGGAUCCGAGCGUUAUCCGGAUUUAUUGGGUUUAAAGGGUGCGCAGGCGGCCAUUUAAGUCAGCGGUUAAAUCGUGGGGCUCAACCCCAUUCUGCCGUUGAUACUGGGUGGCUUGAUUGCGGUCGAGGUUGGCGGAAUUCGUUGUGUAGCGGUGAAAUGCAUAGAUAUGACGAAGAACACCGAUUGCGUAGGCAGCUGACCAGACCGCAAAUGACGCUCAUGCACGAAAGUGCGGGGACCGAACAGGAUUAGAUACCCUGGUAGUCCGCACAGUAAACGAUGAAUACUUGUUUUCGGCGAUAUAAUGUCGGAGGCAAAGCGAAAGCGAUAAGUAUUCCACCUGGGGAGUACGCCGGCAACGGUGAAACUCAAAGGAAUUGACGGGG
rnacentral:rRNA from 1 species